rnacentral:lncRNA from 1 species
GGUGUGCCGGUUGAUAAGAACACCCAUAUUUGUAUCUUCUGUAUGAGAAGUGAUCAGUCACUUAAUUACUUAAAAUGACAUUCGUAGGGGGAAAUCCAAGUAUAUAAUAUCGGCACCCGUGUGAAGAGUAUAAGUUCGUUGUUGCUGUUUACCUUCGAGUAUUGCUACCUAAUUAUUUAUGCUUACCUUCCCAUGCAUUAAUGCCCGGCUCUAUGUUGGAUGUUGAAGGAUAGACAUGUUCAUGUUGAAUUACUUGUCUCCUUACUACUAGAGGCGGCUCAAACAUAAUGAAUCCUUAUUCUCAAUAUUGGAAAUUGACUGUUUCUCA